rnacentral:rRNA from 1 species
CAGCCGCGGUAAUACAGAGGGUGCGAGCGUUAAUCGGAAUUACUGGGCGUAAAGCGUGCGUAGGCGGUGAGUUAAGUCUGCUGUGAAAUCCCCGGGCUCAACCUGGGAAUGGCAGUGGAUACUGGCUCGCUAGAGUGUGUCAGAGGAUGGUGGAAUUCCCGGUGUAGCGGUGAAAUGCGUAGAGAUCGGGAGGAACAUCAGUGGCGAAGGCGGCCAUCUGGGACAACACUGACGCUGAGGCACGAAAGCGUGGGGAGCAAACAGGAUUAGAUACCCCGGUAGUCCCUGUCUCUUAUACACA